rnacentral:rRNA from 1 species
UACGUAGGGCGCGAGCGUUGUCCGGAAUUAUUGGGCGUAAAGAGCUCGUAGGCGGCUUGUCACGUCGGGGUGUGAAAGACCGGGGCUUAACCUCCGGUUCUGCAUUCGAUACGGGCUAGCUAGAGUGUGGUAGGGGAGAUCGGAAUUCCUGGUGUAGGCGGUGAAAUGCGCAGAUAUCAGGAGGACACCGGUGGCGAAGGCGGAUCUCUGGGCCAUUACUGACGCUGAGGAGCGAAAGCGUGGGGAGCAACAGG